UGAAAGCUUCCAGAUGGCUUGGUUGAUUCAGAUGGCCAUUGAUGCGAUGAGAUCGAGCUUGGGAGAUAGGUGGAGAUGGAUGCGGGCAGAGAGCAGCGACAGGACAGCUCUCCUCUCCCUCCUGAAGUCCCGGUCCUCGUAACGACCCCCCUCUCCUCUCCUCAGUGAUUCAGAUCCAUGUUUCCUAACCCUUCUUUUUUUUUUAUUUGAUUCCAUUCACAGAUGUUUCCUAAUGAUCCAGCCUGCCCACCGCACCCGCACUGUGGAGCUGGAGCUGGAGCUGCCGACCUGGACCGACUGCAAGGAAGAAGACGAGAGGUAGAUAGAGAGGGACAAACAGAG
rnacentral:lncRNA from 1 species